ensembl:antisense Gm44949 predicted gene 44949
ACACUGCUGUAGGUGUAGGCGUUUUCCUCGAAGUCCUCCAUCUCCUGAUGGUUGUCAAGUUCAGAGGGGUCAGGGCCUGCCAGCUCCAUCAUGGGGUCUAUAAGAGAGAGGCACAGUUAGGCCUAACCACUGGGCAUCCCCAGCAUCCUGCAAGAAGGGGGGAACGGGGGUGGACCUUAAAGUCCAGCCUCUGUUUCCUCCGUCUUCGUAUCCAGGCAGUUACAAACCCUACUGCUAGGUGUACAAGGAAGGGCCUUGUCCCUGCUAGGUCACUAAGCCCUCCUGGGUCACCUGCAAUGCCUAUCACUGGUUCCCCCUUUGCUAUGGGACUCAUGUAGUACCCACUGCAUGCCAAGUGCUCCCCAGACCUCACCUCAUCCAAUGUUUGCCUGCAACCUCAUCGUGUACACCGAAAGGCUGAUCAACCUCCCAGCCAUCCCACAAGUGCUCCUGUGAACUUGCAAAGCUCUACUUCAGGAGCACCGGCAGGAGUAGUUUUUCUACAUUACUGCACCAAACCAGCCCUACCCUGGUCCUGGGCUCUCCAAGGACAAACUCAGCCAAGCAAGGUAGGUUUGUCAAAGCAUCUCUGGAGACAGGAGGAGGUCUGAGAGGUACCUUGUAAUUCUGUCAAAUUGGAAUCUUACUAUAAAGUUUGCUGUUGUGACAUAGCAGAGUGCCCCCUGAAGAGACAUGGACUGGUAUGAACAAGUAGCCCGGGGGGUGGGGUGGGGGUGGGGGUUGGCUGGUAGGGACUGAGGCUGGCCAACGGAGUGGGUUUUGCCCCUGCCCACUGAAGAACUUUGGUAGUUGGGGGAAACAGACCUAGCCCAGGGCUCACCCUGAUAGGUCCAAGGUGGGCGUCUCAACCUUGGCAUCACUAACAUCUGGGGCCACAAUCCUUUGUGGUAGGCCACUGCAGGACAUCACAGGGUCCUGCACUCUUCCCAUCUGAUGCCAGGAGUAUCUUCCCAGUUAUCUAUAUCUAUGCAUAUAUCUAUCUAUUCCCUGGGGGUCAAAAUCACCCUCCUCUGCCAAUGAGUGGCUUAGGAACCUAAAUCUGACCACUGGGUCAGAAGAAAAUGCUUGCUGGCACGUUAUUGAUUUUAAAGAAGGAGGACAGGUCCCUUUCCUGGAUGUGCCAGGAAGCAAUGUCCUGGUGGCUACUGUUAUACCGUGAGUGCAAACGAAAAUGCCAGUCAUGUGGGGGUCUCACAGAGGUAGCCUAACUCUGAUAAUAUUCACCUGACUUUAAAGAUGGCCCAGGCUUUCAAUCCCUCUCUCCGCAUUUUAUUUUAUUUUAUUUUAUUUUAUUUUAUUUUAUUUUAUUUUAUUUCAUUUCAUUUUAUUUUAUUUUUUUGGAUACAGGGUUUCUGUUGUAGCCCUGGCUGUCCUGGAACUUACUAGACCAGGCUGGCCCGCUUGUGCCUCCCCAGUGCUGGGAUUAAAGAUGUGCUCCACCAUG